UACGGGAGGCAGCAGUGGGGAAUAUUGCACAAUGGGCGCAAGCCUGAUGCAGCCAUGCCGCGUGUAUGAAGAAGGCCUUCGGGUUGUAAAGUACUUUCAGCGGGGAGGAAGGCGAUGCGGUUAAUAACCGCGUCGAUUGACGUUACCCGCAGAAGAAGCACCGGCUAACUCCGUGCCAGCAGCCGCGGUAAUACGGAGGGUGCAAGCGUUAAUCGGAAUUACUGGGCGUAAAGCGCACGCAGGCGGUCUGUUAAGUCAGAUGUGAAAUCCCCGGGCUUAACCUGGGAACUGCAUUUUGAACUGGCAGGCUUGAGUCUUGUAGAGGGGGUAGAAUUCCAGGUGUAGCGGUGAAAUGCGUAGAGAUCUGGAGGAAUACCGGUGGCGAAGGCGGCCCCUGGGACAAAGCUGACGCUCAGGUGCGAAAGCGUGGGGAGCAAACAGGAUUAGGAUACC
rnacentral:rRNA from 1 species